GACAAGUGUAGUCACCUCAAGAUACACAGCAGUCACCGAGCACCAGAGGAGACAGUAUAUUACAUUCGUGAAGAAGGAUCGGCUAGAACAAAAAUUAAGAAGGUUACAAGAGAGAAAGAUCUGGGAAUUUUGACUGAUGGGCUUUUGACAUUCGAAGCACACAUAUCUGAAAAACUUAAUAAGGCCAACAAAAUAAUGGGUAUGACACGUCGUAUAUUUACUACUCUUCAUGUACAUACAUUUAGAUGUCGCUUCAAGACCAUGGUAAGACCUCAUCUUGAGUAUGCUCAGUCAGUAUGGUCCCCGUACAAGAAGAAGGAUAUAAGGAUUGUGGAAAAUGUCCUGAGAAGAGCAUCCAAGUUAUUACCAGGAUUCAAGAACCUCACAUAUCCAGAACGACUGAAACAAUUGGAGAUACCAACAAUGACUUACAGAAGGCUAAGGGGAGACAUGAUUGAGGUAUAUAAAAUCCUCAAAGGUAAAUAUGAUGAGGAUGUGAACAUCCAACUUGAGAGACAUACAGGGCCAACACGUGGACACAAAUUGAAACUAUGGCAAAUGAGGUCCAGGACGCAAAAGAGGCAGAUGUUCUUCAAUUCAAGAGUCGUUGAUGCCUGGAAUAGCCUUCCCAAGGAUGUAGUAGAGGCAGUGAGCGUGAUAUCAUUUGAGAAACGUUUAGAUAAGUUUUGGUCAAACCAACAAAUUAAAUAUAAUUUUGAAGAAAAAUUGUUAACCAGCCCGGCACCACCUGAAUAUCAGUUUUGACAGCGACAAUGAUCUGGACAUAGAGGCCUAGCUUUGGCCUGCGUCCAGUAACACCGUAAGGUUCCGUAAGGUGUGUGUAAUAGAAGUCGGAAGAGAAAGAGAACGUGGUGAGUUAAAGGGCAGACUGAAGAAAUGAAGGUGAAGAAAACGGGAAGAUUUAGAGGGUCACUACAGAUCCAUUGUCAUGUUCCGUUGAUAACCUCUUGAUUGAUUCAUGUUUGGUUGACAUCUCACUAUGAUAUUGCAGUAAAUAUUUAGUUGUAUCAUUUUACAUCAUUGUGCAUGACAUGGAUAUCCACAAAGUGGUCCUAAAGUAUAAUGAUUGAAUGUUUUGACAAGAAUAUGAAAAUUCACUCUUAGUUAGUGAGCAAACUAAGAAACUGUAUGUGAGGUAUUUGUUUCCAUGUUAUUAUAUUUUUAUUCUGAUUAUUUCCUUAUUCUCGGGCUGUGUGAGCGACAGGCUGGCCGUGAGCCUUGCCAGGGAGUGCUGGGCGGCCUGGUGCCCUGGAUGAAGGCAAGCGGCCUCCCUGAGACACCCAAAGACUGGCUGCCAGAAGGUCUUGUGCUGGUACUGGUGUCUGAAGGCUGUGCAGUGGUGCAGACACAGGCUCAGAGUGCCCAGGUGGAGCCAGGCUCUGAUGCUGGUUGCCGCCUGUCUGGGAGCAGACUCACAGAGGCCGGCGCCCUCAGCAGUGACGAGGAGUCUCUCCCUGAAAGCUCUCCCUCAAGGCACAGCAGCAGGCCACCAUCGCCCUUGUCAUCGGGAGCACCAAGAGUAUCCCGAGGAACACUUCAAUGUCCAGGUGUGAGGAUGUCAAGCCACCACAAGCCAGGAGGGAAGUGGCUGCUGGGGCCAAGACAGCAGGGACCAUUAAGAAACAUGAUCCCGCUGCUACCACCACUGGGUUCAGCCUCAGCUCUUCACCCCUGGACGGAGGAGUGUUUCUUGGCGGCCAAACUCAGGAGACUCAUCAGAAAAGACCAUUCACCCGUGCCUUAUAUUGUGGGUGAGAAGAUCAGCCUGGACCAAGAAUCAAGAACUGGAAUGAAGAACCAAUUAAUUAAGGCUCUGAGACUGACUGAACUCCCUUGAAGUAAAAAUGAGGUGCCUGGCCAAGCUGCUGGGUCCGUGUGACCACCGCGGGGACGCUGGAGGAGCCCGGUGCUGCCUUCCUGGGGCCCACACCCUCCUCAGCAUCUCCCUGCCUUGUUACACUCAAUGACAACAGGUGUGUGUUGAUGCUGGGACGAAGAAGAGGAGGAGGAGGAGGAAGAUGAUGAUGAUAGAGGCAACAUGAAGAAAAGAAGAGGAGGAGGAGGAGGAAGAAUGGAAGAAGAAGAACAAGAGGAGGAGGAGGAAGAAGAGAAGAAGAAACAAACACACACACACACAGGCACAUAAGACAAACACCUAUUUUUUUUAUAUUAUCCAUUUUUAUUAGUCCAUAAACAUACAUUAUAUACAUACAAUCAUAUUAUACAACAUAUGCAUAAUUCUAUACAUUAGAAUGUGUUAGAUCAUAGAGUGAGAGACUUGAGAGGUGAGAAAGAGAGCUCCCCCCCACCCACCCACCCUCUCUCUCUCUCUCUCUCUCUCUCUCUCUCUCUCUCUCUCUCUCUCUCUCUCUCUCUCUCCACAGCUCACAGGACCCCACGGAUGUACCCCCCAUGGUAUGCUGACAACCCCCCACAGACGCAUACCCCCCACAGACGCAUGAAGGA